rnacentral:rRNA from 1 species
GAUUUAACGGCCGCGGUACUCUGACCGUGCGAAGGUAGCACAAUCACUUGUUCUUUAAAUGAGGACUAGAAUCAAUGGCGUCACGAGGGUUCCACUGUCUCCUUUUUCUAAUCAGUGAAAUUGAUUUCCCCGUGAAGAAGCGGGGAUAAUAAUAUAAGACGAGAAGACCCCAUGGAGCUUCAAACUCAACGAAUAACUCUACAACUUACUAGAUAUCUUAAGAGACCUAUCCGUUAGUUUUGGGUUGGGGUGACCACGGAGAACAGCCUAACCUCCGUAAUGAAAAGAAUAAAAUCAUAAUCUAAGAGCUACACCUCUAAGAAUUAACAAAUUAACAUACAAUGAUCCAAUUUUAUUGAUCAAUGAACCAAGUUACCCUGGGGAUAACAGCGCUAUCCACUUCUAGAGUCCAUAUCGCCAAGUGGGUUUACGACCUCGAUGUUGGAUCAGGGUGUCCGAGUGGUGCAGCC